rnacentral:misc_RNA from 1 species
UUAAGUUCAGCGGGUAUCCCUACCUGAUCUGAGGUCACCCAUAUAUGAUAAAGGGUGAGUUGAAGGCUGGUAUGAUGCAUUUAGAAGACGAUAUUGAAUAUAUUACGUCUUGGUCUAGAAACAACCGUACCGCCUAUAGAUUUCUGGAAGGCAACUCGAAUAGUGAGCGCUUUUCCAAGGCUAUCCAAGCUAAAGGCGCU